rnacentral:lncRNA from 1 species
GCAGGAUGUCAAUAGAAGUCUUAGCACUGCAAAGCUUCGGCACCUAUCUAUCUCAAACAAGGCACUAGGGCAUGACACUUUGCAAAAACAAGCCUUGCUUAGAACAUUAAUGUUAUUCGGAAGCAGCACCAUUGUUGAGCUAAAGGAUCUGUUGAACAACUUUUCUUGCCUAAGAGUACUACAUCUAGUAGAUGUAGAUCUAGUUGAGCUGCCAGACUCCAUAUGCCACCUCAAACAUUUAAGAGACUUAAGUAUUUAUAACGCAAGCAUAUCCACAAUUCCUCAAGGCAUAGGAGAUCUAAAAUUUCUACAAUCUAUUGACCUUGAUGGGUGUGCAAAUAUUCAUCAACUUCCUAACAGCAUCCUAAAGCUGCGGAAGCUAAGGUCACUCAACUUGAGCGACACGGCAAUCACUUCAAUUCCUCGUGGCUUGGGAAAACUAGAAGAUUUGGUCCACAUAAGCGGGUUUCCAACACAUUAUUCAGAUGAGAGCACAUGUGGCUGGUGCAGCUUAGAAGAACUCAGACCUCUGUCGAAGCUCCAAAGCCUUGAAAUAAGUUGUCUGGAGAAAGCACCUUCCGGUUCUAUGGCUGCUAAAGCAAACCUUAGCAGUAAACAUCACCUGACACGGUUACAUUUGGUAUUUACCAGCAGGCUAGGAGACAACGGGAAGGUCAAAGGCAACAUUAGCGAGGAGGAACACAGGAGAACAGAGGAGGUGCUGGAUAAUCUGUGUCCUCCAACUUGCAUGGAAGAACUUGAUAUCAAAGGCUACUUUGCACGUGGGCUACCGCAGUGGAUGAGAACCAUGUCAGCCUUUGGGAGCUUAAGGCGGUUGCAGCUAGAUGACGACGCAUGCUGCACGCAUCUACCUAAUGGAUUGGGGCAGCUCCCCUUUCUUGAUUAUUUUUGGUUCAAUCGUGCUCCGUCUGUCCGGUGCGUUGGGCACGAUUUCCUCUUCCCCUCCUUGGGUGGUCAAGCUGAUGGCAAAGUAACACGGAACAAUAACAGGCAGCCUCAUCAUACUUUGCGAGGUGCUGGUGUUGCUUUUCCCAAGUUGAGAAAAGUGGGUUUUGUAGGCAUGCUGGGAUGGACGAAUUGGGAGUGGGAGCAGCACGUCCCAGCGAUGCCUGCACUAGAGGAGCUUACAAUCAUAAACUGCAAACUGCAACACCUUCCUGCAGGGCUUGCACAACAUGCAUGCCGGUUGAGAGAGUUGCGCCUGACACAUGUCCAGCACUUGGUCUCUGUUGAGAACUUCCCUUCACUAGUCAAGCUUUGGUCAUAUGACAACCCAAGGCUGGAGAGGAUCAGCAACAACCCGAGCUUGCAAUGGAUUGACAUUAGAAAUUGCCCAGCACUAGAACAAUUGGACGGUUUGCCAUCCCUCCGAAGCCUCGAGUGGAGGGAUUUGAGUGCUGAAGCACUCCCAGAAUACUUGCGAGAGGCAAAGCUAAAGAAAUUGCGUGUAGAUUGCAGCCGAAGAUUGCUCAAACUGAUAGCACUACAAGAUGAAUCCUCCGAAUGGGGAAAGAUCCAGCAUGUCCAGCAACUAGAGGCGUAUGGACACAAGAUAGAAGGAGAAGCGGAGGAAGCCGACCAAUCGCACGAAGAUGAGGAUGCCGAGUGGUACAUCUACUGUACCAAGGAGCCGUAUUCAUUCGACGCGUACCUGGGCAAGUCCACGGGUGAGUUCAUCUUCGACCUACUCGGUGGUUUUAUAACUGUAUGUGUGUGUACACUCAUGUAAAAAUGGAUUUCUAACUGUAUAUUCUCCUGCGCACAGGAUGAAGAUGAAGCAGAAGUAGACGAGGUGAACGAAGAGCAGAGUCCAGGAAUAGAAUAUAGUAAGAAUGCAAGGAACAGAGGAAGCUCUCAGGCUGUUACGACAGGACGAGCAUUCGAAUCCAUCCACCAAAUACUAGGUAUGAAUUGCCCAAAUACUGAUGGUCUUGUAGUUGUACACGCCAAAUUGGCUGUGACUAUUCUAACUGGAAAGCAUUGUCGUGUUAACGCAGGAGAAAGAAACCCAAGAAGGAGAAGAACACAUCGCAAUUGGGUGGUGGCAAUGUGGCAUACUGUCCCUCAAAUUCGUAAGUUGUAUAUGUUUGUGUGCGAAAAAUAUAAUACAGCAGUAAGGCGCGAGCGUCUCUCUAACCAGUUGUUGUGACGCUCAGGAAUGGAGCGCCAGCACGGGCGGCCUUGGACUCGUUGGAGCGAAUACGCGUCGGGGACGAGCGAUGGGCUGAGAGGUGAAGCACUGAACGUGCGCGCGAAGGGCAGCAGGGAAGGGAUUUGCACAUUUAGCUCCCAGGAUUUGCACUUCUUGUUGGCGUAUUUGUAGGCAGGUCUGCACUCCAUCUCUUCUUUUCGGUUGGUCUCUGCUAGCUCGUCAGACUUUCUACAGUGUUUUUGAAUGUUCGAUAGCAAAUGAGUGUAGGAAUUUGCAGACGUGCUCUAUGAUGCCGAGAUAACAAUUGCAUCCCCCCCUCAUGGAUCCUCUGGAAAGCUGAAGCUACUCUGCAAGACUGCAACGAUUGCAGCAACACGGACGUGCCUACUAAAAACAUGGUGCAAUAAAACUGCGAAAUGCUAAACAAGGUCAAGCCGGCAGCCAGGUAAACAACAUUCCAGGCAGCAGGUAUAUUCUGAGCCGUGUGAGAAUUAUCUGUCUGCAAUAGCUUUUUCAUGGGUAGCUAUCACUCGCAUGUGGAUCGUGUCUCUGGCUGAUCCGUUCAGCGUGGACCGGAGCCAACAACGGGGAUAAGAAGUCCCAACUAGUAGUAGUUGGCUGCCAAUGCGGUGGCCAAAAUUUGACCAAGCCAAGGCUAGUAAACAGCAAAUUUGGUACUGUAGGCGCGCUAUUAUAUAGCGGAAGCAACCAAAGUUAUAUAAAUAUUAAUUAUGGAUAAUACAAAGUUAUAUAAAUAUUAAUUAUGGAUAAUAAAGAGGGAGAACUAAUCAGGACGCUGACGAUGCUUCUAGUUGAUCCAUCAUGCUCCAAAAUCUUUCUGCAAGUCAGGAGCUGCAGGAUAUAAGUGCAGAACUGCCUGCCGAUUUCAAAAAAUUAAAAAAAAUUAAAGAAAAAAGAACUGACUGCCGAUGGCCACUCAAGGUAGUAAAAACUAUAGGAAUGCUAUUAGUAGUUCCAGUGUUCCACUGGUAGCUGCCAUUUGCGCUUUGCUGAUCCGUUAGGUGCGGAGCCAGCGACGAAGAGAAGAGUUGAAGCGUCUCUCUGGGGGUUAGUUGAGGCGUCUCUCUUUUGCACCUCAUCAAUAGAGACAAAUAAUUUGAGUUGCAUAUUUUUUGACUACUGACUGGACACCCAAUCGAGGUCCACAAAAAUAUGGAGUAGCGUACUCUUCUGGCACUCCUAUGCGUUGAACUUCUUCGCCUCGCCAUCUCAUCUGCCCAUCCGUGAUUUUCCAUCGACCGGCCAGGCCUUCCUUCUGUAUAAAGCGUCUCCUAAAUCACCGCAGAGUGUACACCCCCACAUAUCUGAAACCUAGUCAUCUUCCUUUUGCUCUCUGCUUUGCUACCCUGUUCCCCGACCAUGGCAGAGCUGCUGGACGAGUUCGCGUCCAAGCUUGUGGGCAUCCUGGCAGGCAUGGUGAAGGAGGAGGUGGAGAUGCUCCUCGGCGUGCCGGGUGAGGUCACCAAGCUCGAGACCACGCUCCGUGACCUGAGCGACAUCUUGGGUGAUGCGGAGAGGAAGCGCAUCCGUGACAAGGCUACGGAGGGUUGGGUGAGGGAGCUCAAGGACGUCAUGUACGACGCCGAUGACGUCCUUGACCUCUGCCAGCUCAUGGAGGGCGGAGAAGAUCCUCCCGCACCAACAUCUGCUCCAAAAACCACCUCAAGGUGCUGGGACAUCCCCAAGAUGUUCUUUUGCUUCCGCAACCCUGUUGUGGCACAUGAGAUUGGAACGAAGAUCCAAGCGAUCAACCAGCGACUGGAAGACCUGGCAACGAGGAGCUCCCGUUUCGGAUUCAUCACCCAAGCCAUCCAUUCCUCAGCUGAUUCAAUCAACAAAGCUUCCAAUUCUUUGUCGACCGACGAGACUGGAUCGGUUUUUAUCCGGUCUGAUGUUGUCGGCGAGAAGGUUGAGGAUGACACGAAGAAAAUUGUAGAUCUACUCAUCAAGAAGAUGGAUGCUCCCGUAGGAUCAAGGGCCAAUAAUGAUGUGGUUGUUGCUGUUGCUAUCACAGGCACAGGUGGGAUAGGCAAAACCACUCUUGCUCAGAUGGUCUUCGGUGAUAGUAGGGUGGAGGAAAAAUUCGAGGAAAGGAUCUGGUUGAGCGUUAACCGUGAGUUCAAUGAGAUCAACGUCCUACAAAGUCUUAUAACUUCUUUUGGUGCCAAACAUGAAGGCUGUGCGGGAAACAAGGACCUACUUCAGCGUGCCCUGAAGGAUACGAUCCGGCAAAAGAAGAAGUUUUUGUUGGUGAUGGAUGAUGUGUGGAGGGAAAAUGUGUGGUAUAAGCUGCUUAGAGAGCCGCUCAAUCAUGGUGCUUCUGGCAGUCGAGUCUUGGUGACCACAAGAAAUGAUGGAGUUGCUCAUGGGAUGAAAGCUCAACAUCUCCAUCCAGUUCACAAGCUAACAACGGAAGAUGCUUGGAUUUUGCUAAAGAACCAGGUCAGUAAUAACUUUUAUUUAUUACAGUAAUUAUUUAUGCAGUAAUUUGAAUUUACUGUAACAACUUUUAUCUCUUCUUAAUUACUUUCUCUCCCUUGGAGGAAUGCACGAUAGCCCACUGCUCGUUAUUUCUCUUGUCGCUCUUGUCCGAUCUGAUUACGCAAAGGACCAUGUAAUUUCACUACGAGCCUUUUAUCAUACUUUCAUAAGCUCUUGGCUUAGCAAAACUUGUCUCAUGGUUAUAUUUAGUUGAACAUAUCCUAUUGACGUUGAGGGAAGUUUUGUUUAGUGCAAGGAAUCGGAUACCGUAGCCUAAGAGGGGGAGAGGGUGAAUUAGGUAACUUAAAACCUUAAUCUAUAGCUUCCGCUACUUUUGCAUCAAAUUUAAUUAGAUCAUGUAUCAAGAUGUGUAACUAUGGUUGAUCUAGUGUGAAAUCCUCAUCCUAAAAUUAGUUUUGCAACCUAGAGGCAAUCCUAACAAGAUACUACACUAAGAAUGUAAAGGCACACAAGUUGCAAGUAUGAAAUGUGGAAAUGAAAAGGAGGGGAUGAGGGGAAGCAAACUCUUGACACGAUGAUUUAUCCCGUUGUAUCGGUAGGCACUAAACCACCGCUAGUCGACAUUGUUGAAGCACUCACACAAGAGUAUUGCUUUCCGGUCACCAAGUCUCUCUCGGGAUACUCCUUGCUUUGCCACGAAGGCUUGGCCGCUAAGGCUCACGUCAAAUUCUCAGGUCACCUUGAUACCAUCUCCACAAAGGAGCUUCUCCACGAAGGAAGGGGGUCUCCACGUUCCCUGCAUAUUGUCGUCGACGCCGAUCCAUGCCAAACCGGAGGGUCGAAGACUUACCGGCGAACUACCAAGGCUCCAAGAUAGCACACCUUGUACAGCUGUGGUUCACUCCUAGAACCGAUCACAAGGCAGGCACACCUUGCACUCUCUCUUCUCUAGGCCUAUCCUAGCACUAAAUAUUCUUAUAAGCUUGUGCUAAGCCUUUGAUUAAUCACUUAUGCACUUUUGGUGGCUUGGAUGUGUUCUUGAUGAGUCUUGAUCUCCAAUGGACUUCUGCAUACUCCAGCUUCAUCCAGCAACUCCAAUGGGUGAGUGGAGGGGGUAUAAAUAGCCCAAGAACUCAAAGAGCCGUUGCUCCAACGGCUAGUUAAAGUAUACCAUCGGAUGUUCCGAUGGUAUCAUUCGGGGUAGCAUUCGAACAUCUGGUUCUACCAGCCCUUGCCUCCCCGCGCUUAGAUUCUACUCAAGUUCCUCACCGACGCAAUCCAUCGAUUGAUCAAGUGGUCCCUCUAGCACCCAUCGGAUCAUCCGGUGCAGUAGCUUCCUAUGCCAAAACGUCUCUGUUAGUUUCUAAAAUAAAUAUGCUUCAUCCGAUGCCCCCACGACACAUAGCGUCGGAUCAUCCGGUGCCUCCUUCUUUCUUCUCUUUGCUCCGGCGAUUCAUCCGAUGGAUACAAAACUUAGGCCAUCGAAUCAUCCGAUGGUCCUACUUUGACUUGGUCUCCACAUGGCGUACCAAAAGCUCCGAUGCUUGCACCGAUGCUUUUUCAACUGGCCAUCGAAACAUCCGAUGGUCUCAAAAACCUGCUUCACGCUUGGCACCGACUGAUUCGGUGGGCACCUUCUUCUUGUCACCAGAUGAAUCGGUGACUAUAAUGAUUCCUGUUUUUCUUUGAUUCUUUGCUUAUCUUUGGUUGUGGUUGCUUCCUCAGGACCUAUAAUACCUUCAAGAUAUGUUUUCAAUGCUUUGUUAGUCCUGAUGACCGUGUUGUCACAUUAAUCACCAAAAUCACAAACAAAUAGCCUAUUCGGGGCCAUGUUUGCUACAUUUAGGCUAUUCCCAAUGGGGAUUUCAUAAGAGUUUCAUUUAAUGAUGCGACACACCAACAAUUUUGAUGAUAUGGCAUGCUAAUAAUCAUGAAGAGAGAGAGGGAAUGAGUUUAAUCCUGAUUAAACUAUGUAUACAUUGUUUCCAAGACUAUGAAACCUGAUGAAACUAGCAUUGGGGAUUAGAGAGUUUCAUUUCAUCUCAUAACAUCCAAUCACAUACCUCGCAAUUAAACGUUAUGUCCAGCCUAUGAAAUCGCGAAAUGAAACUCUCCAUUGGGAGAUCUUGUGUCAUACAUCCACUCAAACAUCUUUCGAUGACGUACCACUCUUGAAAAUUGUAAUUGAAAUUUCCCACUGGGAAUAGCCAUGGUUGCUCUAGAGUCUAGACUCUAUUUAAGUCACUUCAACUUUUUCCCUACACACAACCCCUGCAACAGUUAUGAUACAACAUAAAAUCCAUUGGGAGCUUUUCGAUUCUAGCACCAUUUCCUCUCUCAAACUUGCUGCAUUUUUUUUCCAAUACUAGGUAGUUUCGAAUGAGAGUGAUGAAGCCGAUGUCGAUGAAUUGAAGAGUAUCGGGAUGGAAAUUGUUGAAAGAUGUGACUGCUUGCCGUUAGCAGUUAAGGUCCUUGGAGGACUCUUGCGUCACAAAAGGAGAACAAGGGAUGCCUGGACGGAUGUUAGUAGCCACGAUAUUUGGUCGACAAUAGGAAGCGAUGAAGAUAUUAAUAAAGCGGUCUAUUUGAGUUAUGAAGAUUUGCCUUCACACUUGAAGCAAUGUUUUGUGUAUUGUUCGCUAAUCCCUAAAGAUCACUUGAUAUCGAGUGGAGUAAUAGUCAAGCUUUGGAUUGCAGCAGGUCAUGUACACAACAAGAUGAGCUGUAAGGUACCAGAAAAGUUGGGGAAAGAAUACUACAACGAAUUGGUUUCAAGAAAUCUUCUAGAACCAGACAAAAGUUACUAUAGUACAGUAGUAUGCAGGAUGCACGAUGUUGUCCGUUCCUUCGCUCAGUAUAUAAUUAAAGAUGAAGGGAUACUUAUUAGUGAUGGGCAGGAUGUUAAUAGAACUCUUAGCACUGCAAAGCUUCGGCACCUAUCUAUCUCAAACACGACAGUAGGGCAUGACACUUUGCAAAAACAAGCCUUGCUUAGAACAUUAAUUUUAUUCGGAAGCAGUACCACUGUUGAGCUAAAGGAUCUGUUGAACAACCUUUCUUGCCUGAGAGUACUACAUCUAGUAAAGGUAGAUUUAGUCGAGCUGCCAGACUCCAUAUGCCACCUCAAACAUUUAAGAUACUUGUGUAUUUGUAACGCAAGCAUAUCCAGAAUUCCUCAAGGCAUAGGAGAUCUAAAAUUUCUACAAUCUAUUGACCUUGAUGGGUGUGCAAAUAUUCAUCAACUUCCUAACAGCAUCCUAAAGCUGCGGAAGCUAAGGUCACUCAACUUGAGCGACACGGCAAUCACUUCAAUUCCUCGUGGCUUGGGAAAACUAGAAGAUUUGGUCACCAUAAGGGGGUUUCCAACACAUUAUUCAGAUGAGAGCACAGGUGGCUGGUGCAGCAUAGAAGAACUCAGACCUCUGUCGAAGCUCCAAAGCCUUGAAAUAAUAUGUCUGGAGAAGGCACCUUCCGGUUCUAUGGCUGCUAAAGCAAACCUUAGCAGUAAACAUCACCUGACAUGGCUAGAUUUGGUAUUUACCAGCAGGCUAGGAGACAACGGGGUGGUCGAAGGCAACAUUAGCGAGGAGGAACACAGGAGAACAGAGGAGGUGCUGGAUAAUCUGUGUCCUCCAACUUGCAUGGAAGAACUUGAUAUAAAAGGCUACUUUGCACGUGGGCUACCGCAGUGGAUGAGAACCAUGUCAGCCUUUGGGAGCUUAAGGCGGUUGGUGCUACAUGACUACGCAUGCUGCCCGCAUCUACCUAAUGGAUUGGGGCAGCUCCCCUUUCUUGAUUAUUUUUGGGUCAAACGUGCUCCGUCUGUCCGGUGCGUUGGGCACGAUUUCCUCUUCCCCUCCUUGGGUGGUCAAGCUGAUGGCAAAGUAACACGGAACAAUAACAGGCAGCCUCAUCAUACUUCGCGUGGUGCUGGUGUUGCUUUUCCCAAGCUGUCAGAAGUGGGUUUUGUAGGCAUGCUGGGAUGGACGAAUUGGGAGUGGGAGCAGCACGUCCCAGCGAUGCCUACACUAGAGGAGCUUACAAUCAGAAACUGCAAACUGCAACACCUUCCUGCAGGGCUUGCAUACCAUGCAUGCCGGUUGAGAGAGUUGGACCUGAGAAAUAUCCAGCUCUUGGUCUGUGUGGAGAACUUCCCUUCACUAGUCAAGCUUUGGUCAUAUGACAACCCAAGGCUGGAGAGGAUCAGCAACAACCCAAGCUUGCAAUGGAUUGACAUUAGCAAUUGCCGAGCACUAGAGGAAUUGGACGGUUUGCCAUCCCUCCUAAGCCUUGAGUGGUGGAAUUUGAGUGCUGAAGCACUCCCAGAAUACUUGCGAGAGGCAAAGCUAAAGAAAUUGCGUGUAGAUUGCAGCCGAAGAUUGCUCAAACUGAUAGCACUACAAGAUGAAUCCUCCGAAUGGGGAAAGAUCCAGCAUGUCCAGCAACUAAAGGUGUAUGGAUGCAAGAUAGAAGGAGAAGCGGAGGAAGCCGACCAAUCGCACGAAGAUGAGGAUGCCGAGUGGUACAUCUACUGUACCAAGGAGCCGUAUUCAUUCGACGCAUACCUGGGCAAGUCCACGGGUGAGUUCAUCUUCGACCUACUCGGUGGUUUUAUAACUGUAUGUGUGUACACUCAUGUAAAAAUGGAUUUCUAACUGUAUAUUCACCUGCGCACAGGAUGAAGAUGAAGCAGAAGUAGACGAGGUGAACGAAGAGCAGAGUCCAGGAAUAGAACAUAGUAAGAAUGCAAGGAACAGAGGAAGCUCUCAGGCUGUUACGACAGGAGGAGCAUUCGAAUCCAUCCACCAAAUACUAGGUAUGAAUUGCCCAAAUACUAAUGGUCUUGUAGUUGUACACGCCAAAUUGGCUGUGACUAUUCUAACUGGAAAGCAUUGUCGUGUUAACGCAGGAGAAGAACACAUCGCAAUUGGCAUACUGUCCCUCAAAUUCGUAAGUUGUAUAUGUUUGUGUGCGAAAAAUAUAAUACAUCAGUAAGGCGCGAGCGUCUCUCUAACCAGUUGUUGUGACGCUCAGGAAGGGAGCGCCAGCACGGGCGGCCUUGGACUCGUUGGAGCGAAUACGCGUCGGGGACGAGCGAUGGGCUGAGAGCUGAAGCACUGAACGUGCGCGCGAAGGGCAGCAGGGAAGGGAUUUGCACAUUUAGCUCCCAGGAUUUGCACUUCUUGUUGGCGUAUUUGUAGGCAGGUCUGCACUCCAUCUCUUCUUUUUGGUUGGUCUGUGCUAGCUCGUCAGACUUUCUACAGUGUUUUUGAAUGUUCGAUAACAAAUGAGUGUAGGAAUUUGCAGACGUGCUCUAUGAUGCCGAGAUAACAAUUGCAUCCCCCCCUCAUGGAUCCUCUGGAAAGCUGAAGCUACUCUGCAAGACUGCAACGAUUGCAGCAACACGGACGUGCCUACUAAAAACAUGGUGCAAUAAAACUGCGAAAUGCUAAACAAGGUCAAGCCGGCAGCCAGGUGAGCAACAUUCCAGGCAGCAGGCAUAUUCUGAGCCGUUCAGCGUGGACCGGAGCCAACAACGGGGAUAAGAAGUCCCAACUAGUAGUAGUUGGCAGCCAAUGCGGUGGCCAAAAUUUGACCAAGCCAAGGCUAGUAAACAGCAAAUUUUGUAGCAAACCAAAAUUAAAAUGCGACGUAACCAAAGCGCUGGCGUAACCAUGUCGACAUUAGACCUGAUUUGUUAAUACGUGCUGAGAUGGCGAGGCAUAUCUUGUAACCAGCGACGAAGAGAAGAGUUCAAGCUGCAUUGGAUACAUGUGCUCCUGCCUCCUGGGGGUUAGUUGAGGCGUCUCUCUUUUGCACCUCAUCAAUAGAGACAAAUAAUUUGAGUUGCAUAUUUUUUGACUACUGACUGGACACCCAAUCGAGGUCCACAAAAAUAUGGAGUAGCGUACUCUUCUGGCCCUCCUAUGCGUUGAACUUCUUCGCCUCACCAUCUCAUCUGCCCAUCCGUGAUUUUCCAUCGACCGGCCAGGCCUUCCUUCUGUAUAAAGCGUCUCCUAAAUCACCGCAGAGUGUACACCCACACAUAUCUGAAAUCUAGUCAUCUUCCUUAGUCAUCUUCCUUUUGCUCUCUGCUUUGCUACCCUGUUCCCCGACCAUGGCAGAGCUGCUGGACGAGUUCGCGUCCAAGCUUGUGGGCAUCCUGGCAGGCAUGGUGAAGGAGGAGGUGGAGAUGCUCCUCGGCGUGCCGGGUGAGGUCACCAAGCUCGAGACCACGCUCCGCGACCUGAGCCACAUCUUGGGUGAUGCGGAGAGGAAGCGCAUCCGUGACAAGGCUACGGAGGGUUGGGUGAGGGAGCUCAAGGACGUCAUGUACGACGCCGAUGACGUCCUUGACCUCUGCCAGCUCAUGGAAGGCGGAGAAGAUCCUCCCGCACCAACAUCUGCUCCGAAAACCACCUCAAGGUGCUGGGACAUCCCCAAGAUGUUUUUUUGCUUCCGCAACCCUGUUGCGGCACAUGAGAUUGGAACGAAGAUCCAAGCGAUCAACCAGCGACUGGAAGACCUGGCAAAGAGGAGCUCCCGUUUCGGAUUCAUCACCCAAGCCAUCCAUUCCUCAGCUGAUUCAAUCAACGAAGCUUGGAAUUCUUUGUCCGACGAGACUGGAUCGGUUUUUAUCCGGUCUGAUGUUGUCGGCGAGAAGAUUGAGGAUGACACGAAGAAAAUUGUUGAUCUACUCAUCAAGAAGGUGGAUGCUCCUGUAGGAUCAAGGGCCAAUAGUGAUGUGGUUGUUGCUGUUGCUAUCACAGGCACAGGUGGGAUAGGCAAAACCACUCUUGCUAAGAUGGUCUUCGGUGAUAGUAGGGUGGAGGAAAACUUCAAGGAAAGGAUCUGGUUGAGCGUUAACCGUGAGUUCAAUGAGAUCAAUGUCCUACAAAGUCUUAUAGCUUCUUUUGGUGCCAAACAUGAAGGCUGUGCGGGAAACAAGGACCUACUUCAGCGUGCCCUGAAGGAUACAAUCCGGCAAAAGAAGAAGUUUUUGUUGGUGAUGGAUGAUGUGUGGAGCGAAAAUGUGUGGUAUAAGCUGCUUAGAGAGCCGCUCAAUCAUGGUGCUUCUGGCAGUCGAGUCUUGGUGACCACAAGAAAUGAUGGAGUUGCUCAUGGGAUGAAAGCUCAACAUCUCCAUCGAGUUGACAAGCUAACAACGGAAGAUGCUUGGAUUUUGCUAAAGAACCAGGUCAGUAAUAACUUUUAUUUAUUACAGUAAUUAUUUAUGCAGUAAUUUGAAUUUACAGUAACAACUUUUAUCUCUUCUUAAUUACUUUCUCUCCCUUGGAGUAAUGCACGAUAGCCCAUUGCUCAAUAUUUCUCUUGUCGCUCUUUUCCGAUCUGAUUACGCAAAGGACCAUGUAAUUUCACUACGAGCCUUUUAUCAUACUUUCAAAGCUCUUCGCUUAGCAAAACAUGUCUCAUGGUUAUAUUUAGUUGAACAUAUCCUAUUGACGUUGAGGGAUGUUUUGUUUAGGGCAACGAAUCGGGUAUCGUAGCCUAAGAGGGGGAGGGGGUGAUUUAGGCAACUUAAAAUCUUAACCUAUGGCUUCUGCUACUUUUGCAUCAAACAUAAACAAGAUCAUGCUGUCAAGAUGUGCAAUUAUGGUUGAUCUAGUGUGAACUCUUCAUCCUAAAAUAAGUUUUGCAACCUAGAGGCAUCCUAGCAAGAUACUACACUAAGAAAGUAAAGGCACACAAGUUGUAAGUAUGAAAUGCGGAAAUGUAAAGGAGGGGAUGAGGGGAAGCAAACUCUUGACACAAGAGUAUUGCUUUCCGGUCACCAAGUCUCUCCCUGGACACUCCUUGAUUUGCCACAAAGGCUCGGCUACUAAGGCUCACGCCAAAUUCACAGGCUACCUUGAUACCAUCUCCACAAAGGAGCUUCUCCACGAAAGAAGGGGGUCUCCACGUUCCCUGCACAUUGUCGUCGACGCCGCUCCACACCAAGCCGGAGGGUCAAAGACUUACCGGCGAACCACCAAGGCUCCAAGGUUUCAGCACACCUUGUACAGCUGUGGUUCACUCCUAGAAUCGAUCACAAGGCAAGCACACCUUGCAUUCUCUCUUCUCUAGGCCUAUCCUAGCACUAAACAUUCUUCUAAGCUUGCGCUAAACCUUUGAUUAAUCACUUAUGCACUUUUGGUGGUUUGGAUGUGUUCUUGACGAGUCUUGAUCUCCAAUGGAAUUCUGCACACUCCAGCUUCAUCCAACAACUCCAAAUGGGUGAGUGGCGGGGGGUAUAAAUAGCCCAAGAACUCAAAGAGCCGUUGCUCCAACGGCUAGUUAAAGUAUACCAUCGGAUGUUCCGAUGGUAUCAUUUGGGGUAGCAUCGGAACAUCCGGUUCUACCAGCCAUUGCCUCCCCGCGCUCAGAUUCUGCUCAAGUUCCUCACUGACGUAAUCCAUCGAUUGAUCCAGUGGUCCCUCUAGCACCCAUCGGAUCAUCCGGUGCAGUAGCUUCCUAUGCCAAAACGUCUUUGUUAGUUUCUAAAAUAAAUAUGCUUCGUCCGAUGCCCCUGCGACACAUAGCGUCGGAUCAUCCAGUGCCUCCUUCUUUCUUCUCUUUGCUCCGGCGAUUCAUCCGAUGGGUACAAAACUUAGGCCAUCGGAUCAUCUGAUGGUCCUGCUUUGACUUGGUCUCCACAUGGCGAACCAAAAGCUCUGAUGCUUGCACCGACACUUUUUCAACUGGCCAUCAAAGCAUCCGAUGGUCUCAAAAAUCUUCUUCACGCUUGUCACCAACUGAUUCGGUGGGCACCUUCUUCUUGUCACCGGAUGAAUCAGUGGCUAUAACAAUUCUUGUUUUUCUUUGAUUUCUUUGAUUCUUUGCUUGUCUUUGGUUGUGGUUGCUUCCUUAGGACCUAUAAUACCUUCAAGAUAUGUUCUCAAUGCUUUGUUAGUCCUAAUGACCAUGUUGUCACAUUAAUCACCGAAAUCACAAACAAAUGGCCUAUUCGGAGCCAUGUUUGCUACAUUUAGGCUAUCCCCAAUGAGGAUUUCAUAAGAGUUUCUUUUAAUGAUGUGACACAUCAACAAUUUUGAUGAUAUGACAUGCUAAUAAUCAUGAAGAGAGAGAGGGAAGGAGUUUCAUCCUGAUUAAACUGUGUAUACAUUGUUUCCAAGACUAUGAAACCUGAUGAAACUAGCAUUAGGGAUUAGAUAGUUUUAUUUCAUCUCAUAACAUCCAAUCACAUACCUCGCAAUUAAACGUUAUGUCCAGCCUAUAAAAUCGUGAAAUGAAACUCUCCAUUGGGAGAUCUUGUGUCAUACAUCCACUCAAACAUCUUUUGAUGACAUACCACUCCUGAAAACCGUAAUAUGAAAUUCCCCACUGGGAAUAGCUAUGGUUGCUCUAGAGUCUAGACUCUAUUGAAGUCACUUCAACUUUUUCCCAACACACAACCCCUGCACAAGUUAUGAUACAACAUAAAAUCCAUUGGGAGCUUUUCGAUUCUAACACCAUUUCCUCUCUCAAACUUGCUGCAUUUUUUCCAAUACUAGGUAGUUUUGAAUGAGAGUGAUGAUGUCGAUGAAUUGAAGAGUAUCGGGAUGGAAAUUGUUAAAAGAUGUGACUGCUUGCCAUUAGCAGUUAAGGUCCUUGGAGGACUCUUGCGCCGCAAAAGUAGAACAAGAGAUGCCUGGACGGAUGUUAGUAGCCACGGCACUUGGUCGACAAUAGGAAUCCAUGAAGAUAUUAAUAAAGCGGUCUAUUUGAGUUAUGAAGACUUGCCUUCACACUUGAAGCAAUGUUUUGUGUAUUGUUCGCUAAUCCCUCAAGAUUACUUGAUUUCAAGUCGAGUAAUAGUCCAGAUUUGGAUUGCAGCAGGUCAUGUACACAACAAGAUGAGCUGUAAGGCACCAGAAACGUUGGGGGAAGAAUACUACAAAGAAUUGGUUUCAAGAAAUCUUCUAGAACCAGAGAAAGGUUACUAUAGAAUAUCAGCAUGGAACAUGCACGACGUUGUCCGUUCCUUCGCUCAGUAUAUAAUUAAAGAUGAAGGGAUACUUAUUAGUGAUGGGCAGGAUGUCAAUAGAACUCUUAGCACUGCAAAGCUUCGGCACCUAUCUAUCUCAAACAAGGCAGUAAGGCAUGACACUUUGCAAACACAAGCCUUGCUUAGAACAUUAAUGUUAUUCGAAGGCAGCACCACUGUUGAGCUAAAGGAUAUGUUGAACAACCUUUCUUGCCUAAGAGUACUACAUCUGAUAGAUGUAGAUCUAGUUGAGCUGCCAGACUCCAUAUGCCACCUCAAACAUUUAAGAUCCUUGUAUCUUUCUGGCACAAGCAUAUCCACAAUUCCUCAAGGCAUAGGAGAUCUAAAAUUUCUACAAUCUAUUGACCUUGAUGGGUGUGCAAAUAUUCAUCAACUUCCUAACAGCAUCCUAAAGCUGCGGAAGCUAAGGUCACUCACCUUGAGCGACACGGCAAUCACUUCAGUUCCUCGUGGCUUGGGAAAACUAGAAGAUUUGGUCGACAUAAGGGGGUUUCCAACACAU